CUGGAUCCUUAACCCACUGAGCAAGGGCAGGGAUCGAACCCUCAACCUCAUCAUUCCCAGUUAGAUUCGUUAACCACUGCGCCACGACGGGAACUCCAGUACCCGGGUUUCUUGUUGCCACCUUUGCUGUGUGGGCUAUCUCUGUUUGCAUGCAAAGAUCCUGAAGUCAAGGUCAGGCACCCAGCCUGGGAGGAGCAGGGUGGCUUUCCCCCAGGGUAAUCAAGCAGGCCCUGCCCCCUGUCCUUCUUGGCCUUCCAUCUCCCAUCCCCCACCUCCCCCCCCCAAAUGCACCCCUGCUGGCCCUCCUGGGACAUAAACCACUCAGCCCAAAUGCUAAGUUAGGAUCCAACCAAUAUCCAACUGCAGAGGAGAGAGAGAACCCUUGGCGAGGCGAGAGGAGGCAGAGGCAAGCCAGUUAUUGUAAAGGGAGCCCUACAUGGUGGCCUUUUACCUCUGGGUCACUGGUUCAAAUCCAGCCAGACCUCGCCUGACAGAAAAUCAUUAGCAGCUCUGUGUCAGGCUGCUUGACAGAUGGAAAAUGAGUUUCUGUCUCCAUCCAGCAGGCAAGUGUCCACAUCACACUUGGCGCUAAGCAGCCCUGGACUCCGUGGAGACAGAGCAGAAGUCACCGGCCAGUCACCCAGGGUCUCUGAGACUGGGCCCUCCUGCAGCUCAGCGUUCUCCGCGUGGGGCCUGACAGCUCCCUCCUAGCGCCCCGUUCACGAGCACUUUAUUAAUCUAGGUUUGUUUUUGCCCGCGGAAGACACUGUUUAACAAGUAGUCUGAAGUAAUGGAACAACUGAGAAAAUCUGAUUCUGCGGGCAUCAAAAGAGCGGCCAAAAUCAGAGCAGAAAAAAAUGCCUCAAGGACACGAUCAUCCUUGGCAGCUGCGCAGUGCGGGGCCGGGCGGCUGAAUGGGUCCAAGCAAGGGCCAAGUUCUCGGGCCAGGGAUCGAAUGUUGUCCACAGCAGCCUCCCAAGCCACACCGAUCCUCAAUGCGCUGCCCCCCAAGAAAACUCCCAGGAGGCUUUUCUUCUGAACAUAGAACCUUGCCAGUUCAGGUCCUGAAAUCUGGAUUCAGAGAUGCCAGCCUUCGCUGUCUAUCACCCUGGGCCACUGCCUCUGACUUUUCCCCUGCUCGCUGGCUUCGUUUUUGCUGCUUGAGUUCAAGCCCUUUCUGUCUGCACCGCUAAGAUCCAGGAGGCUUCUCAGUUUGCUAUGUGGCUCUGCUAGAUGGCAACGACCUGUGCGGGGGACAGAAGGACCUUUCCCCUCCUUAUCCAGACUCGUGCAGUAUCCCUCUUGUCUCCAUCCUCCUCAGCAUCUCCCCAACCCAAGAUAUGUCCCUCUCUCCUGCCCCAGCAUCUCUGAACACCUCUGUCGUGGGGGUAGAAGGUCCCAGAAGAGCCAGAAGGAGAGGCAGCACCUGAGGGUGGCAACUGGAUGCUGUAAAACUCUCACCAUCUUCCCCCUGCCUGAUGGACGUCAGAUCUGGAGGCAGCCCAUCCACAAACAUCAAAGAGAAAGAACAAAAAUAUAUGUUGUUUGUAUGUUGGUUUGUUUAAUAUCAAGAAGAGUUGAUUUUCAAGCCCAGAGGGACUGAGCAUGAGAGACUCAGCUUAAUCAGAGGGCUCGGGCUUACAUCAUGCCCUGCAAAUAAUAAUAAUAAUAAUCAUAACAUAAUAGUACUAAUGCCUGUGUUACACUCGGAGCUUGAAAUGAUCAGUGACAUUUCCCCUGAUGAGGUUAAACAGCCGGGCUCUCUGGGCUUCGCAUUUGCAUAAUAAAGUUCAGAAGUCAC